UCUCUGACAGUGCAGUGGUUAGGACUCAGUACUUUCAUUGCUGGGGCCCAGGUUCAAUCCCUGGUUGGGGAA
rfam:TPA: Bos taurus chromosome X, whole genome shotgun sequence.